UACGUAGGGUGCAAGCGUUAAUCGGAAUUACUGGGCGUAAAGCGUGCGCAGGCGGUUAUGUAAGACAGAUGUGAAAUCCCCGGGCUUAACCUGGGAACUGCAUUUGUGACUGCAUAGCUAGAGUAUGGUAGAGGGUAGCGGAAUUCCGGGUGUAGCGGUGAAAUGCGUAGAUAUCCGGAGGAACACCAGUGGCGAAGGCGGCUACCUGGACCAAUACUGACGCUCAGGCACGAAAGCAUGGGGAGCAAAAGGG
rnacentral:rRNA from 1 species